rnacentral:rRNA from 1 species
GCGAACGCUGGCGGCAGGCCUAACACAUGCAAGUCGAACGAACCUUUCGGGGUUAGUGGCGGACGGGUGAGUAACACGUGGGAACGUGCCUUUAGGUUCGGAAUAACUCAGGGAAACUUGUGCUAAUACCGAAUGUGCCCUUCGGGGGAAAGAUUAAUCGCCUUUAGAGCGGCCCGCGUCUGAUUAGCUAGUUGGUUGAGGUAAUGGCUCACCAAGGCGACGAUCAGUAGCUGGUCUGAGAGGAUGAUCAGCCACAUUUGGACUGAGACACGGCCCAAACUCCUACGGGAGGCAGCAGUGGGGAAUCUUGCGCAAUGGGCGAAAGCCUGACGCAGCCAUGCCGCGUGAAUGAUGAAGGUCUUAGGAUUGUAAAAUUCUUUCACCGGGGACGAUAAUGACGGUACCCGGAGAAGAAGCCCCGGCUAACUUCGUG